rnacentral:lncRNA from 1 species
GGAGGGAGCUCGUGGUUUGCCGUUUUAGCUCCAGCGUCACAGCUGCAAGCUUUUUCAAAUGGCAUUUUUUCUUCUGAGUCAACAAUGUGAAUAAAGAAAUCCUUUACAUAUGUCCUCCGUAAUGAGAAAAAUGCCAGAAUUACACUUUCAAAACACCAAAAACAUGAUUAUUAUUGGAGUGGGUCUUUAAUAAUAAAUGUUAUAGAAUUAUUUCAAAAAACAGCUGUGAUGACAAAACUCUGUUACUUCCUGCAGGGAUGAGGGCUUAUUGUGGUUCCCAGGAAGACAGAGGUGUCGGCGUGCUGCACACUGACAAGCUGAAGCGUGUGAAGGAACCACAAACAAAACCCCCCCUGAUGACUCCGCCUUUCCCAGUAGAGAGCUGCAUUUGAAAUGGCUACGGGGCUUGAAACAACGCUUGAAUUUCUUUUUCCUUUCUCAAGUAAUGUAAAUGUGCUUUUUCUGUAGCAGACUGUAGAAUUCAUUUGUGCAUUUGUGUAAAAUAGGAGUUAAAAAAGAAAAUACUGUGUGCCUUAUUGAGAUUUCUACUGCAGGUAGGACACAUUGAGCCAAGGUGACUGAUUUUUUUUGAGGAAAAUUUACAUUGGACGAUUGUUUUUAGAGUGAUCAUUUUAAGCUCAGAAUAGCAUGAAUUUGCAAAAAAAAAUAGUCUCUAAGAGGCACAAAAAGAUGUUUUUUUAAAUUGUUAAAAAUUCAUCUAUUGAAUGAGCAUUUGUCACAGUUUACAUCCAUUAGGGUAAUAAUUAAUAACUGCUGCAAAAAGCGCUGCACUCUUUGUCAAAAUAGUCUAUUUUUUGGGGUUUAGAUUGAUGUGUUGCUGCUAACGUUUAGGAUACCAGCUGCUUAGUCUUACUGAAGUUCUCAGGUUUAGCUUUUUCAUCAAAAGAUUGUAUUUUAUUUUCCAUUUAGGUUAAAAAAAAAACCUCUUCCCUGCCCUACCGGCUGCAGCAAACAUCCGCCCAUCUCACAGCAUCGCUGCUACACUUUAGUUGUUAGUUUAUGUUGUCAGGGCAAGUAUCCCGCUUUGACAGAGGUAAAAAAUGCGUGGGAAGAUUGAGUCAAAUACAAAGUCACCUGCCACGGACAAUGCGGACUUGUCUUCUUUUGCUCUGGGUGGUUUCACGGUGACUCACACCUCCAAAAUGUGACCAAAAUAUUUCACGUGUUUCUGCUCCAGGACGUUCUGACCAUACUGAUCUGCAACGUUAAUGCUAGAGAUGAACGGGAUGUUUGUUAUUUAUAUUUAAAAUAUUUUCAAAUGUACUUUAAAAAUGCCUUUAAAUGAAAAAGAAACGCACACAAAAGUGCAGAGUCUCCAGGACAUAAAUCGUACCGAGAACAAUUUCUUGCCACUUAAAUAUUUUCUUCAAAAACUGUAAAUAUUCCAAAGAAACUUCGAAUGUUAUGAAAAAUACUAUGUACCUUCCUAUUUUUGCAGACUUCGUUUAAGAAGCAGAGCCAAAGGAAAAUGUUAUUUUGACAUGUUUGUGACAGUUUUGAUGCUGGAGUCGUUCCCCGCAAUGAUGCAGCACAACAACCACUU